rnacentral:rRNA from 1 species
CCUACGGUGGGCAGCAGUGAGGAAUAUUGGUCAAUGUACGAGAGUCUGAACCAGCCAAGUAGCGUGAAGGAUGACUGCCCUAUGGGUUGUAAACUUCUUUUAUAUGGGAAUAAAAUGUUCCACGUGUGGGAUUUUGUAUGUACCAUAUGAAUAAGGAUCGUCUAACUCCGUGCCAGCAGCCGCGGUAAUACGGCGGAUCCGAGCGUUAUCCGUAUUUAUUGGGUUUAAAGGGAGCGUAGGUGGAUUGUUAAGUCAGUUGUGAAAGUUUUCGGCUCAACCGUAAAAUUGCAGUUGAAACUGGCAGUCUUGAGUACAGUAGAGGGGGGCGGAAUUCGGGGUGUGGCGGUGAAAUGCUUAGAUAUCACGAAGAACUCCGAUUGCGAAGGCAGUUCACUGGACUGCAACUGACACUGAGGCUCGAAAGUGUGGGUAUCAAACAGGAGUAGAUACCCGAGUAGUC